UCUUAGAUGACUGAGGAUAGAUAAGUGCUAGAUUUUUAAUCUAGAGACGGUAGGAAUUACCUCUAAGAA
rnacentral:tRNA from 1 species